rnacentral:rRNA from 1 species
GACGAACGCUGGCGGCGUGCUUAACACAUGCAAGUCGAACGAAGUGGCGAACGGGUGAGUAACGCGUAAUCAACUUGCCCUUCAGAGGGGAACAACAGUUGGAAACGACUGCUAAUCCCGCAUACUGAAGGAGGGGUUUGCGUCUGAUUAGCUAGGUGGAGGGGUAACGGCCCACCAAGGCGAUGAUUAGUCGCCUGUCUGAGAGGGUGAACCACCACAUUGGGAAUGAGGCACGGCCCCGACUCCUACGGGAGGGCACAGUGGGGGAUCUUCCGCAAUGGACGAAAGUCUGACGGCGCAACGCCGCGUGAGUGAUGACGGCCUUCGGGUUGUAAAGCUCUGUUAAUCGGGACACGGUACCGGAAUAGAAAGCCACGGCUAACUACGUGCCAGCCGCCGCGGUAAUUC